GCCACUUACCUAGGACGGUGACCUGGGUCCCACCGCCGAGGACAUACCACACAAUGUCGCUGUCCCACACCUGACAGUAAUAGUCGGCCUCGUCCACAGCCUGGGCUCCGCUGAUGGUCAGGGUGGCCGUGUUCCCUGAGUUGGAGCCUGAGAACCGCUCAGGGAUCCCUGAGGGCCGGCUGCUAUCAGCCAUGACCAGCACAGGGGACUGGCCUGGCUUCUGCUGGUACCAGCGAGCAA